GGGGCUGGGGCUCAGUGGUAGAGCACUUGCCUAGCAUGUGUGAGGCCCUGGGUUAGAUCCCCAGCACCCAUA
rnacentral:tRNA from 1 species